AGUCACUGACAUUAGAUACCCGCGUAGUCCCAGCUGUAAACAAUGUGCGUUAGGUGUGUCGGUAACCACGUGUUACUGAUGCGCCGAAGAGAAAUCGUGAAACGCACCACCUGGGAAGUACGGUCGCAAGGCUGAAACUUAAAGGAAUUGGCGGGGAGCACCACAACAGGUGGAGCCUGCGGUUUAAUUGGAUUCAACGCCGGACAUCUCACCGGAUAAGACAGCUGAAUGAUUGUCAAUCUGAAGGUUUUACAUGACUAGCUG
rnacentral:rRNA from 1 species